UCGCACCUACCGAUUGAAUGUUUCGGUGAAACUUUCGGACUACGAUACGGACGCCCUCGGGCAGCUGCGUUGUGGGAAGUUAUUUAAACCUCAACAUUUAGAGGAAGGUG
rnacentral:rRNA from 1 species